rnacentral:rRNA from 1 species
GAUGAACGCUGGCGGCGUGCCUAAUACAUGCAAGUCGAGCGAACAGACGAGGAGCUUGCUCCUCUGACGUUAGCGGCGGACGGGUGAGUAACACGUGGAUAACCUACCUAUAAGACUGGGAUAACUUCGGGAAACCGGAGCUAAUACCGGAUAAUAUAUUGAACCACAUGGUUCAAUAGUGAAAGACGGUUUUGCUGUCACUUAUAGAUGGAUCCGCGCCGCAUUAGCUAGUUGGUAAGGUAACGGCUUACCAAGGCGACGAUGCGUAGCCGACCUGAGAGGGUGAUCGGCCACACUGGAACUGAGACACGGUCCAGACUCCUACGGGAGGCAGCAGUAGGGAAUCUUCCGCAAUGGGCGAAAGCCUGACGGAGCAACGCCGCGUGAGUGAUGAAGGUCUUCGGAUCGUAAAACUCUGUUAUUAGGGAAGAACAAAUGUGUAAGUAACUAUGCACGUCGUGACGGUACCUAAUCAGAAAGCCACGGCUAACUACGUG